UCCGGACGUGAAGUCAGAAAGUAACGUGUGCUGGAUUCUGUGUUCGGAUGUGGGUACAAUUCAUGUUGUGCAUGUUGAUAAAAGGAGUCCACCCUAAUGCUGCUGUGACAAUCUGGUAUCAAGCAAAACCAUCCAAUGGUCGGUUGCCCCGUCAAUGAGCCAUAGACUGUUAAAGGAAUGACUGCCCACACCUCGCUAACCACAGUCAUAUCUGACCCAACGCCUUCCUGCAUCCUCGAGUUACACAGAUGUCCCUUCAAAUACACAGCCUGGAACAAAGUGAUGCAUGGCACUGCUACUUGUAAAUUCAUUUUUUUUAUGUGUUUUUUUUUCUUUUUGUAACGGCAAUUGUGGUUUCAUGCAGGAAAUUGGUAACUAUCUUUAGAUUUAUCUCACUCCAGAAGAGAAGGAAGAAAAAGUUAUUUCAGUAUAAGUUUUACAGUUGAAGGGAUAAUUCAAGUGAUUUGCAGUGACAAAAGUAAAGCUCCACCUUUGCCUCUCCAGUCAGCACAUGAAAAACCUAACGUCUUUUCAACCUUUGUUUUUAUAAUUUUUUUUUACUGUUUUUCUAGUUCGUAGGUUCGUUUUGAUAAAUCCUUCCAUUGUAACAAAAUGUCUGAUGUUGCAUGGAAUGCAUGGAUCUGUUAUUUGGACACAUUUAAAGUAGACCUGUCAGCAGCUAAAAACAGUAUAAUCCUAUAGGUAGGAUAAGGAUUCCUUGCAUACCCACUUUUUUAUCUCCAUAGUCCAGCACAGCAAGAGCCCAUUGGUAGCCAGCCCAUCUCGUUUAUUUACCACCUCUGUACCUUCUUGUAUAUGCCUGCUCCCCCUAUGAUUGACACCCAUUAGGCUUAUACACAACAGAUAGGUAGUAAAUAAGAUAAGAUGCGCUGGCUAUCCCGGGGGUCUCACCGUCUGGAGAAUGCCUUCUGGGCAUUAACAAAAGGGUUUAUAUCUUGGCACUGAGAAAAAGAUAUGCCUGGAAUCGUGAUGAGAAGUCCUAUAUAGCCAUAGGCUUAUUUUACCCCUGUUUAGCUGCUGACAGAUCUUCUUUAAAGGAGUUAUCCACCAUAAAGUGAUUUUAGUACUUACCUGCCAGACAGUAAUGGACAUGCUUCAGAAAUAUCCCUGAUUGUCUUGGAGCUAAAUGGCUAUGUUGUAAGUCAACCAUAAUGCUGAGGCUAUUUCCUGUUGUAGUUUGUUCCCUCAAACUACAAGUCCCAUGAUUCCUUGUUUGUAAGUGUGAGGUUACUUUUCCUUCUCCCACACAUCACACCCAUUCCACCCAUUGAAACACACCUGUGAUCCCUUAAUUUUUUGACCAGGGUGCCUCCAGCUGUUGCAAAACUGUAAUUCUUGCAGAAUGAUCUCCCUCCCACCUAGUGGUCGCUCCACCCAUUGGAUCAAAGACAGGCUCCCUCUGAACACCUGACUAGUGAUGUGAUGUCUCGGGCUGCACUGUAACCUAGGAAAACCUGAGACAACACUCAUUUUGUAUGCUGUUAAAAAUAAACAUUGGGGAAAAAAAUCACAGAAGAAUUACGAGACCACCAUGAAACACAGGUACAGAUAUUCCCUCUUGUGUUUGCUGAGAUCAAGCCAUGCAAGUGUAUUUACUAAUGGAGCCUUUAUAAUGCGGAAUUCUAUGUUGCAUGUAGUAUUAUAGUAGCUAUAUACUUCUACAUAGUGGGCAGUAGUAUAGUGGUUAUAUUGUACAAAGUAGGCAGUGUUAAAGUAGUUUUAUUCUUAUACAUAAUGGAGAGUAAUAUAGUAGAUAUUUUAAUGUACAUAAGUAAGAGUGUUAUAGAAGGCAAUAUUAUAGUAGUUAUAUUCCUGUACCUAUGGGGCAGUAUUAUA